rnacentral:tRNA from 1 species
GGGGGUAUAGCUCAGCAGGCUAGAGCGCUUGCAUGGCAUGCAAGAGGUCGUGGGUUCGAGCCCCACUAUCUCCA